rnacentral:rRNA from 1 species
AUUGAACGCUGGCGGAAUGCUUUGCACAUGCAAGUCGAGCGGCAGCGCGGGGGCAACUCUGGCGGCGAGCGGCGAACGGGUGAGUAACACAUCGGAACGUGCCCAGUUGUGGGGGAUAGCCCGGCGAAAGCCGGAUUAAUACCGCAUACGACCUGAGGGUGAAAGGGGGGGAUCGCAAGACCUCGCGCAGUUGGAGCGGCCGAUGGCGGAUUAGCUAGUUGGUGCGGUAAAGGCUCACCAAGGCGACGAUCCGUAGCUGGUCUGAGAGGACGACCAGCCACACUGGAACUGAGACACGGUCCAGACUCCUACGGGAGGCAGCAGUGGGGAAUUUUGGACAAUGGGGGCAACCCUGAUCCAGCCAUUCCGCGUGAGUGAAGAAGGCCUUCGGGUUGUAGAGCUCUUUCGGCAGGAACGAAACGGUGAGGGUUAAUACCUCUUAUCAAUGACGGUACCUGAAGAAGAAGCACCGGCUAACUACGUGCCAGCCGCCGCGGUAA